AGUUCAACGAGAUCAUGUCCUGAACUCUUGCAGAACUCUUCAACUCCUUGAUAGCUCAGCCACUUGUCUCGCUGUCCCCAGCACACGGUGGUCGGGAUUUUCCAGUCUUUAUCCAUCAGUGAGGUCCUCAUUUCUUCUGUAUAGCCCUGUCAGGGAAAAUCCAUAUGAAUAUUCCAAUCUUACUCUAGAUAUUCAUCAAACCUUGGUUUUGGUAAGGAACCUUAAGCUCCUUCUUCAUGGCCCUGCUGAUGGCGUUAAGUGCAAAACCAGAAGAACCUGAGGUCAGAUAAGGUCUUCGGUAAACCAUCGCAUCAUCUUCUUUCAUUUUGUAAGGACCACAGCUCGUCAAAGGCUUGUCACUUGCUCUCAGAGGAUCCUAUUGGUUUUAGAUAAGCCUUCAUAUGAGCAAACAGUUAAGAAGCAACUUUGAUGGAAACAAACCUGAGAGAAAAUCUCCCCGAGCAAAAAGUUGCUGAAUACAGACAAGGUUGAUGGAAGUUUAGCAUGUUCGGGAGUGAGCUGCAACCGCAACAAACACAGUCUCUAAGUAAAGUCAGUUUGAAAGAAGAGAAGAAAAUGGUACGUUUCAAUUUUUUGUUUAAAAUCCCUUCCUUACAGGAGGAUUCAAGAGUAUGAGAUUCUUGAUCUUCUCUGGUCGGUUUCUUGCGCAUUUAACCGCAGCAGUUGAGAAGUAUCCCUGAUUAAAAAAGAGAAGUUAACACUGAACAUACCUGUAAUAUUGCUCCGUUAGUUAAGUGAGGAUACUUACCUGCACAACCAGUGAGACCUGAGUAGUAGUAACUUCAUCAAUGAAUGAUUCAAGCGACGAAACAUACUCUGCAAAGCCGCAGAUCAUUGUGAUAAAAUCUUGUAAAUUUAUCAAGAAAAAGUCUGUUCACAACAACUGGGGACAAGAUGUUACCGUCUAAUGUAUAGUUGAAUCCAUAUCCAGCCUGAGGCUUGUCAGAAAAUCCAAAUCCUAGCCAAUCGAAGGCAAUGGCGCGGUAGUUCUUUGACAGGGCGGGAAGAGCUUUCCGGUAAGAGUAAGACUAGUCACAAUAAAAAAAAAUGCUCAAAAUCUGAAACUUAUUCAAGAUAACAAGAUGGGAUGUGUUUCAAGUCAAGUGAUAUUAAUUUACUUACCUGGGAUGGGAAUCCAUGGAUGAGUAUAACAGGAGGACUGUCUACCUUCCCAGAUUCCACACAAAACCACCUAUGGAUACCAAAAAUCAUAAGUCCUAAUGUAAGAUAAGAGAUGAGAAGUUUGUAAUCCUACCUGAAAACAUCUUUUGAAGCUUGAGAGCUAGAUCCCAUUGUUAGUCCGAAAAUGGGAUCUUUGGCUUCUUCACCAGAUCCCCCAACUCUGUGAGCUUUAACCCAUUUGCCUUGCUUUAACCAUUCAUCUGAUGGACUCGGUUGAUCCGAAUACUUCCCUGCCAUGAAGAAACCACAAUUAUUUCUUCUUUUCCUACUAAACCAAGAAGAAGAAGAUGAUGAUUAAAAGAAUGGUAAAAACCUCCACUGAAUGAGAAUCCAUCUCCAGCAGACACAGGAGCAUCAAUAAGAUAGUCCUGUUAAGAAACGAGUUAAUUAUUGCUCAAUGUUUUAUCUUUCAGUAAACUGACUUCGAGCAUACAUCUUUGUUAUUGGACUUGCAGAUGAUUCCGGAAUGUUUUGCAGGAGAAUAUCUGGUGAAGUGAUAUGAAGCAGGUGAUGCAGAGGCCGAUGUAAGAGAUGAUCGGAGCUGAUGAGUGUGCAAAAAGUUAGGGUUCUGAAUAUGAACAGCCAUUAUAUUUUUCUUCUGAUAUGUGUGAGAGAGAGAGAGAGAGAGAGAGAGUGAAUGGUUGUUGGUUUAAACCGUUGCUUCGAGGGUGAGAUAAGCUUUAUGUGGUUGACUGGCUUUCCCCAGUUUCGCCGUGACGGAGACAUCAAUAUUAUUUUCCUUCCGUCUCUUACGAGUAUAACUUUUUUUUUGUGAAACAAGAAAAAAAGGAAUAUAAUUGUUUUAUAAAAAUUUAAAGUGAAAAUCUCGUUGAUUUAUAUUAUUUUAAAAAUUUUAGCUUCGUCAAUUUAAGAAUUCUCAAAUUAAUCAUUUGUAGCUAUUUAUUUUUUUCUGACUGAAUAUCAAACAAUUUAUUUGUUUGAUUUUAAUUUACUAGAAAUGUGCAUUUUAAACGCUUAACUUUUAGGGUUUAUUUGCCAAAUAUCCAAAACAAAAAUUGAAAUUAGAUUUGUAGAGAGAUAGUAGAAAGAGAUAGGAAGAGAAAGAAGGAGAGAGUGUAAGAUUUUAAUUAUUUAGUGAAUUAUAGUUUUUUUUAAGGUUAUAUGGCCUAAUUUCCCUAAUUUUUACUAUGUAAUACACCAAACUAUAAAAAGUUUUAUCAAACGGACAAUGUUGAGAUUUAUUAUUCUAAAUAGAUGUUUGUCUCCCUACAUUUUCAUAUUUUGUACCGAAACAUUUAUUUAAAAGAUAUGCAAAGUAGUGUGUAGCCAAAUGCUAUCAUGUUUAAAUUUGCCAAGAGCAUAUCCACCUAUACAGUGCAGAUAAUUGUUUACUUUUGUUAAGCUACAAAAAGAUGUUAAGCUGUAAGAGUGAUUCGCAUGAAAAAUCUAUUACAAUAAAAGAGAGUUACCUCUCUCUAUAUGCCACCACGUCAUCAGGAAAUAUAAGACGUUUUUGGACACUUGGCACUUCACCAAACCAGCCCGCGUCUGAUUUGAUUUUGUAUCAUCCGGUUUAUCUCAUGCCUCUAUCCUGGACUGGGCCAUUAUUACAACUUUUCCUUGGGCCUUUGAAAACACUAUGACAAGCUCACUAGAAUUUUAUGUUUCUUCUUCUUCUUUGCGGUUGCGACAGUGGACAAUUUUUUUUCAGAACUAAAGGGACGUUCCAAUCUCUCCCGUAACGUAUCAAUACUUCAUUAAUCUGUUCUUAACUCUGAGGUUUUGCGUGAUUAGCCCACUCCUCCCACUGGAAAGCAUUCAAUCGACAUCUUUAAUCUAACUUUAAGAUGAUAUUGUUUAUUUUUCUUCGUGACCUUUGUGAUUUCUCCAUCUUCUUCCACUCACUUCAUCUGUUAUUGACAUCAUAAUUCCUCUUCAACCCUCAUUCUCUCUAUAGAAAGCCAGAUGCAAGUGAAAGAAAACCUAACAAACUAGGGAAUUAAGAUUCACCGAAUGAGCACUACAAAAACUUGGCUUCAAGCGAUCUCAGGGAUCAAAACCGGAAAACAAAAUAGCAUAGCUAUUUCGAGAAAAGAUUGUGUCUCUCUCCCUUGUCCAUGGUCAAAUUGGUCCUCCAAAAGUCGAAUCGUUAGUUUGUCUUUGCUUCCUAUUUUCAACUCGAGUCCUCGAUUUUCAAAUAACUACCGUGUGACUGGUAGAUUUUAGAGUAACUAGGAGAAAUAAAAGUGGAGGAACUAAGAGGAAAAGUAGCAGAGCAAAACAUAAAGAAAAUAAAAUGAAAUCAGGUGUAACUUACUUUCCACUUCAUAAACAGUGAGGUAAUAAAGUGUACUAUAUACCACCAGUUAAACAGUGGGGAGCGUAAGGGAGAUGGAAAUUAAUUUUACCUGAUUGGCAAACAUAUAAGUUGAACAGAGAGUAAAAAUAUUAUCGCUAAACAAUUCUCGCAGGAAAAAAUUAUCGCUGGAAGUGCUUUCCAGUCAGACACUACAUAUAUUCUGCUCUGUUUUUUAUUUCUUGCAGGAAGGAUAUUCGUCUUACCCAUUAGGUAAAUAGAAAACCCAUAUUAGCUUUGUUUUAAUUAUGUAUUACCUUUCCUACCAAUGAAUUUAUGCUAAUUGAAUAUGUUAAUUAGCUUUUGAACUCCAUGUUUCAGCUUUUGAACUCCAUGUCACAGAUGUUUUCUUCUACUGAUAGAAAGUUGAUUUGGAGGCGUGUAACAUGUGAGUCAGUCUCCACGUCAAUCUAACCGUAGCAAUGAGCCGACAUGAGCCUCAAAUGCUCUUGCUCUUUUUAUAUAAUCUGUUUCUAUAUAUUCUGAAGAAAUAUUUUUAAAAAAUUAGUUACCUUUCUCCUGCCUAAAUUUAUAUUAAGCAUUGUAUUCUUAUGGGUUUGGAAGGCUGACAAUCACACACUUAAUGAAUUCUGCAGGUAUUCUUAUGGGUGUGCAGUACUUCCUUCGACGUGCAAAGAUUACGGGAAAGAAAAUCACGGCUUGUCUUAUCUUUGCAAGCCCUAUGGCCGCAACACUCCGGCAGCGGCGUUCAGACUGAGGUUAGCUCUUGAGCUUGGGAUUCAUUGCUUGAACGUAAUUUUUAUAGUCUUGAGUUGGGUGUUUUGCGUUUAUAACCAGCUCCAGUUAUGGUAAUUGUGAAAGUGCAUUGCUUUAGUGUUGUUUUCUGCCGUCUACAUGCCUUACUUACAUCUUACAUAAUCUUUUUUUCAAGGACAAUGAUGAACGUGGUGAAGAUCUUUUGUUGGCUGCAUUACUCUGCAAACUCAUACAUGGUUGGUUAGUAAUCGAGCCUGCAUAUUUGUCUUUUUUUUUUUUUGCUAUUAUUGUUCUCAAACAACUAAUAUUGUUUAGAUGUAACCAUGUUUUGGUUUGCACCAGAUAGCGAUAUGCUUUGUAGUUGAUGGUUGGAAUCAGAAUAAUACAGUUUCCUACCUGUUCUCAAGAAGCAAUUCUCUUGCAGCAUGUACUUCACUACUCUCUUUCUUUCUUAUGUUGAUAAUUUUGAAUUCUUUUACUAAUUUGUUUUAGUUGUAUUGCAGGUUAUUUCAGAGUUUUCAACCUUUCCAUGUUUGUACCAUCCAUGUAAAUAUACUUUCUUGGAUUGAAAAACCAACUUCUCUUUUACAAAAUUCCUACGUUAGGAGGUUCGGCUGAAAAUAAGGUUUGAUACUGCCUCUCUUGCCAAUCCUUUAGCCUAGCCUUUAUUAUUUUUAUUUGGAAAGUAACAAUAGUUACUGCAUAUAAGCAGAUAGAUUCGGAACAACUUGAUAAGACCAAGACUGAGGAUAGUUCAGACAAAUCGGUAUGCAAUUCAAUUCAUUUUCUUGUAAUUGCUCUCUCAGUUGGAUAUAGUCUAAUAGCUGUUGUCAUGCAGAAACCAUCAUCAACUUCUCAAAUUUCAUCUGCUAGAUCUGAGGUAAACUUGUAACCAGUCCGGUAUUUGAAAAUAUGAUAUCAGCAGUCUCUUCUUAAGGUUCAUAGACUGUUUUAUAUAGCUAAAAAAUCUCUCUUCACAAAAAUCGUUAUUACAUAGGUUCGGAAGCAGACUUACGCCGAACUGGAGACCUUUAAACACAGAUGGAGAAAUGCUGUCAAGAACGAUGAGUGCUGGAUAGACCGUUUCCAACCAUAGAGGAUUUCUUGUUUUGGACCAAAUUAUACAAUUCAUAGAAAAGCAAAAGACACGGAGAGAUGACAGCUUAAGAUCUUUCGAUGCUGUUAACCAAUUAAUGGAGGUAUACAUAGAAUUUUCCAAUACUGGAGAUUCUACUUUGAUGAUUCUUCUAUCUCUCGAUUUAUAGAGCCUCAAAGUUUAGCACAAAAAUCUUACUAAUGACUUAUAUAUGUACCACUGGAAAUACACAAGGUUGUGAAAUAAAACUUGAGUUUUUUCUUUUAACAAAUGGGGUUGUCCAUGACAUCUUUGUGUUUUCUCUAUCUUCUUGCGGAGUCGCCCUAGUUAGAUAAGAGCAGAUUUGCUUAUGAUUCUUGAGAUUAGUCCCCCAAUCUCUUCUCCGCAAUCCUCUUGGACAUGAUGACCAGCCUAAUAAUAAGAUCAAAACCGGUUAAUGUUAGCUUUGCUGUUUAUUGAGGUCUCAUGGGUGCAAAAGGAAAUAGUCUGUACCAUUGGAAGUUCAACGAGAUCAUGUCCUGAACUCUUGCAGAACUCUUCAACUCCUUGAUAGCUCAGCCACUUGUCUCGCUGUCCCCAGCACACGGUGGUCGGGAUUUUCCAGUCUUUAUCCAUCAGUGAGGUCCUCAUUUCUUCUGUAUAGCCCUGUCAGGGAAAAUCCAUAUGAAUAUUCCAAUCUUACUCUAGAUAUUCAUCAAACCUUGGUUUUGGUAAGGAACCUUAAGCUCCUUCUUCAUGG
rnacentral:lncRNA from 1 species